GAUGAACGCUGGCGGCGUGCCUAAUACAUGCAAGUCGAACGCAUUGUGGUUGAAAUGAUAUGAAGAACUUGUUCAGAUUUGAUUUUCAACAUUGCAAUGAGUGGCGAACGGGUGAGUAACACGUGGGAAACCUACCUCUUAGCAGGGGAUAACAUUUGGAAACAAAUGCUAAUACCGUAUAAUAAUUAAAACCGCAUGGUUUUAGUUUAAAAGAUGGUCUUGCUAUCACUAAGAGAUGGUCCCGCGGUGUAUUAGUUAGUUGGUGAGGUAAUGGCUCACCAAGACAAUGAUACAUAGCCGAGUUGAGAGACUGACCGGCCACAAUGGGACUGAGACACGGCCCAUACUCCUACGGGAGGCAGCAGUAGGGAAUCUUCCACAAUGGACGAAAGUCUGAUGGAGCAACGCCGCGUGUGUGAUGAAGGUUUCGGCUCGUAAACACUGUUGUAAGAGAAGAAUGACAUUGAGAGUAACUGUUCAAUGUGUGACGGUAU
rnacentral:rRNA from 1 species